CACUGGACCAAAGGCAAUGUGGUAGCUAGAAGAAGAAAGCAAAGUCAGGUCUUUAGGGAGAGACCCUGAUCCCUCCUAGAUUUGUGAAGCCACAGGCCCAUCAGCAACUCUUCCUAGAUCAAAUAUGGCUACAGGGUCAAGAGCCCCCGUGGAGGAACAGCAUCACCGGCUUCUUCCCCGAGUCCCGGAUGUCUGGAAGCUAUACAAGCUAACAACCAGGAUGGAGGUCACUGUCAUCUAAUUCCAGGACAUCUGCCAGAAGAGCCCAGGAACUUCCUCAAGUCCUGAAUGCCCUUACCUAUCCCAGGAACCUUAGCACAGUGCUAUGAUCCUCCAGCAUGCUCUUUUCUCCCCUGCAGGAACCCCACUCCAAUGCCUUGGUAUUCCAAAAACAGAUCUACAACAUCCUAAACUUCUGUGCUUCACAAGAAUCAGACAUACUUGCUACCCCAAA